rnacentral:piRNA from 1 species
UNGCUGGCAGCUAGCUGUGGGUCCUUGGG